AACGAACGCUGGCGGCAUGCCUAACACAUGCAAGUCGAACGAGACCUUCGGGUCUAGUGGCGCACGGGUGCGUAACGCGUGGGAACCUGCCCUUAGGUUCGGAAUAACUCCCCGAAAGGGGUGCUAAUACCGGAUAAUGUCUUCGGACCAAAGAUUUAUCGCCUUUGGAUGGGCCCGCGUUGGAUUAGCUAGUUGGUAGGGUAAAAGCCUACCAAGGCGACGAUCCAUAGCUGGUCUGAGAGGCUGAUCAGCCACACUGGGACUGAGACACGGCCCAGACUCCUACGGGAGGCAGCAGUGGGGAAUAUUGGACAAUGGGCGAAAGCCUGAUCCAGCAAUGCCGCGUGAGUGAUGAAGGCAUUAGGGUUGUAAAGCUCUUUUACCCGGGAUGAUAAUGACAGUACCGGGAGAAUAAGCUCCGGCUAACUCCGUG
rnacentral:rRNA from 1 species